AGGUUACUGCUAUCGGAGUUCGAUUAAGCCAUGCGAGUCUAAAGGUUCCUUCGGGAGCCUUGGCGGACUGCUCAGUAACACGUGGAUAACCUACCCUUGGGACUGGGAUAACCCCGGGAAACUGGGGAUAAUACCGGAUAGAUCAAGGAUGCUGGAAUGCACCCUGAUCCAAAGCUCCGGCGCCCAAGGAUGGGUCUGCGACCUAUCAGGUUGUAGUGGGUGUAACGUACCUACUAGCCGACGACGGGUACGGGUUGUGAGAGCAAGAGCCCGGAGAUGGAUUCUGAGACACGAAUCCAGGCCCUACGGGGUGCAGCAGGCGCGAAACCUUUACAAUGUGCGAAAGCAUGAUAAGGGAACUCCGAGUGCCAGUAUCUAAUGCUGGCUGUCCUUGUGCCUAAAACGCACAAGAUAGCAAGGGCCGGGUAAGACCGGUGCCAGCCGCCGCGGUAACACCGGCGGCCCGAGUGGUAGCCGCUAUUAUUGGGUCUAAAGGGUCCGUAGCCGGUUCGAUAAGUCCUCUGGGAAAUCUGGUUGCUUAACAAUCAGACUGCCAAGGGAUACUGUCGAACUUGAGACCGGGAGAGGUAAGAGGUACUUCAGGGGUAGGAGUGAAAUCUUGUAAUCCCUGGGGGACCAUCUGUGGCGAAGGCGUCUUACCAGAACGGGUCUGACGGUGAGGGACGAAAGCUGGGGGCGCAAACCGGAUUAGAUACCCGGGUAGUCCCAGCCGUAAACGAUGCUCGCUAUGUGUCAGGUACGGUGUGACCGUAUCUGGUGCCGUAGGGAAGCCGUGAAGCGAGCCACCUGGGAAGUACGGUCGCAAGACUGAAACU
rnacentral:rRNA from 1 species